rnacentral:lncRNA from 1 species
AAAUAAUUUUGGACCAAUUCUUUAAUGUGCAGCCCAAACAUACGCCCAUCCGUCCAGGCCCAACACCACCUCCCAGUCCAACCCCAGACCCAGCCUGCCCCCUAGUGAACGAAACGACGUCGCUUUGUCGCUACUAGAUCUAGGCCGUCGAUGUUUUAUGAUCUAACGGCUCAGAAGCUGGGGUGCACUUAUAUAUAACCUUUAGAGACCAAACAUGAAUCCUAAUCAGCCGCCACCCAAUCCUCACCGUCUCCGAUGGCGGCGCCGCCUCCAUUCACCCCCAAAUUCACACCACCUCUUCUAUUUCCUAUCCUCAUUCCAUAUCUAACUUUGGUUUUCUUCAAAUCAAACCGAGGCCUCUCGAAUAUUGAUUCAAAGAUUAGGCUCAGAAUACAAAAUCAUCCAAACGACCCCAAAUCGCCACCAGAGGAUCUAUCCAUCGUCCUCACCUCAAAUCCAUGGCUAUUCUGCUUCAAAUUUCAACGGUUCGCGCUCAGGUCCCCAUCUAGGGUUCGUCAGUCAGCCUCGUCUGGAAUUUUUCUCUUAAGGUAAGUUUUCUUCUAGUUUUAUGACUUUAUUAGUACACUUAAUAAUCUCUUCUUCCUCUUCUCCUCUGUUAAUUGGGUCGUAGAGGGAUUUUAGUUGUGAGUUCGUUUCUUCAAUCUUUCGUUUAUUUUCUUGUUCAUCUAGUUUCUUAGCAGUGGGUUCAGGAAAUUGUUGUUUGCUCAAUUCAAUGCUCUUCGAUUUGUUUCAAUGAUUAAUUCUGUUUAGUUAGUAUAAUUCAACUCGAUUAGAUUUUGU